rnacentral:rRNA from 1 species
CACCGCGGUUAUACGAGAGACCCAAGUUGAUAAGGUACGGCGUAAAGAGUGGUUAAGAUUGACUAAAAACUAAAGCCGAAUGCCCUCAAAGCUGUUAUACGCCCCCGAAGGUAAGAAGACCAACCACGAAAGUGACUUUACACUACUGAACCCACGAAAGCUAGGUUA